rnacentral:rRNA from 1 species
UACGUAGGGUGCAAGCGUUUGUCCGGAAUUAUUGGGCGUAAAGAGCUCGUAGGCGGUCUGUCACGUCGGCUGUGAAAUCCCGAGGCUCAACCUCGGGUCUGCAGUCGAUACGGGCAAACUAGAGUAUUGCAGGGGAGACUGGAAUUCCUGGUGUAGCGGUGAAAUGCGCAGAUAUCAGGAGGAACACCGGUGGCGAAGGCGGGGUCUCUGGGCAAUAACUGACGCUGAGGAGCGAAAGCGUGGGGAGCGAACAGG